rnacentral:lncRNA from 1 species
AUGUUUUGCAUUUGGAUUCUUAAUUAUGGUUCAGAGACCCACGCUUCACUCUUUCCUGCUUUCUUGUCUGGAUUCAGAGCUUCAGUCUCCACCAUCAACCCUUCAAGAGGAAUUUGGACUUCCACACAGAGACCUUCCUCUCAGACUUCCUAUCUGGGCAGUCAUUUGCAUCACAUGGGACCUGGGAAUGAGACACCAGUUUCAGAAUUUAUUCUCCUGGGAUUAUCAAAUGAACCAGAACUGCAGCCCCUCAUAUUUGGGCUUUUCCUCUCCAUGUACCUGAUCACUGUGUUUGGAAAUCUGCUCAUCAUCCUGGCUGUCAGCUCAGACUCCCACCUCCACAACCCCAUGCACUUCUUCCUCUCCAAUCUGUCCUUUGUAGACAUCUGUUUUAUCUCUACCACUGUCCCAAAGAUGUUGAGGAACAUAAGGACACAGAAGAAAGUAAUAACCUAUGAAGGCUGCAUCAUCCAGAUGCAUUUUUUCUUAUUUUUUGCAACAUUGGAUGUGUUCCUCCUGACUGUGAUGGCCUAUGACCGCUUUGUGGCCAUCUGCCACCCACUCCACUACACAGUCAUCAUGAACCCCUGGCUCUGUGGACUCCUGGUUCUGCUGUCCUGCAUCAUGAGUGCUCUGAAUUCCUUGACACAAAGCAUAAUGGUGUUGUGGCUGGCCUUCUGUACAGACUUGGAAAUCCCCCACUUUUUCUGUGAAGUUAAUCAAGUGGUUCAGCUUGCUUGUUCUGACACUUUUCUUAAUGACAUGUUGAUGUAUUUUGCAGCUGGGGUGUAUGGUGGCAUUUCCCUCACUGGAAUACUUUACUCAUAUUCUAAGAUAGUUUCCUCUAUACUAGGAAUUUCAUCUGCUCAGGGGAAGUAUAAAGCAUUUUCCACCUGUGCCUCUCACCUCUCAGUUGUCGCUUUAUUCUUUUGCACAGUCCUGGGAGUGUAUCUUAGCUCUGCUGCUACUCACAGCUCACAAUCAAGUGCUGUUUCCUCGGUGAUACACACUGUGGUCACACCCAUGCUGAACCCCUUCAUCUAUAGUCUGAGGAAUAAAGACAUAAAGAGGGCUCUGAGAAGGAUCAUUGGGAUGGCAGCUAUAUAA